rnacentral:rRNA from 1 species
CGCUGGCGGCGUGCCUAACACAUGCAAGUCGAACGGACGAGGUUGAAGCUUGCUUCGACCGAGUUAGUGGCGGACGGGUGAGUAACGCGUGGGUAACCUGCCGUAUGCUGGGGGACAACAGUUGGAAACGACUGCUAAUACCGCAUAAGCGCACAGUACCGCAUGGUAUAGUGUGAAAAACUCCGGUGGCAUACGAUGGACCCGCGUCUGAUUAGCUAGUUGGUAAGGUAACGGCUUACCAAGGCGACGAUCAGUAGCCGGCCUGAGAGGGUGAACGGCCACAUUGGGACUGAGACACGGCCCAAACUCCUACGGGAGGCAGCAGUGGGGAAUAUUGCACAAUGGGGGAAACCCUGAUGCAGCGACGCCGCGUGAGUGAAGAAGUAUUUCGGUAUGUAAAGCUCUAUCAGCAGGGAAGAAAAUGACGGUACCUGACUAAGAAGCCCCGGCUAACUACGUG